CGAAGGGGGCUAGCGUUGUUCGGAAUUACUGGGCGUAAAGCGCACGCAGGCGGUUCGAUUAGUCAGAAGUGAAAGCCCCGGGCUCAACCUGGGAACUGCUUUUGAUACUGUCGAGCUUGAAUCACGGAGAGGGUAGUGGAAUUCCGAGUGUAGAGGUGAAAUUCGUAGAUAUUCGGAAGAACACCAGUGGCGAAGGCGACUACCUGGCCGUCGAUUGACGCUCAUGUGCGAAAGCGUGGGGAGCAAACAGGAUUAGAUACCCUGGUAGUCCACGCCGUAAACGAUGGGUGCUAGUUGUUGGGGUACAUGUACCUCAGUGACGCAGCUAACGCGUUAAGCACCCCGCCUGAGGAGUACGGCCGCAAGGUUA
rnacentral:rRNA from 1 species